rnacentral:rRNA from 1 species
AGUGCCUAAUACAUGCAAGUCGAGCGGCAGCACGAGUAGUUUACUACUUGGUGGCGAGCGGCGGACGGCUGAGUAACGCGUGGGAACGUGCCCCAAAGUGAGGAAUAACUGCCCGAAAGGGUAGCUAAUACCGCAUAUGAUCUUCGGAUUAAAGUAUUUAUUACGCUUUGGGAGCGGACCGCGUCCGAUUAGAUAGUUGGUGGGGUAAAGGCCUACCAAGCCGACGAUCCUUAGCUGGUCUGAGAGGAUGAUCAGCCACACUGGGACUGAGACACGGCCCAGACUCCUACGGGAGGCAGCAGUGGGGAAUAUUGGACAAUGGGCGCAAGCCUGAUCCAGCAAUGCCGCGUGAGUGAUGAAGGCCUUCGGGUCGUAAAGCUCUUUUACCAGGGAUGAUAAUGACAGUACCUGGAGAAUAAGCUCCGGCUAACUCCGUGCCAGCCGCCGCAGUAG